UAUUACAGACUGAACCUCUCAGUCACUCUUUGUUCUCCCUAUACUACACUAUACUAUGGGUUAUCGGCUUCAUCAUUAUAAUCCCAUUUAUUAUUAUAACCCUUUUCCUCGCCUCUUCUCUUUUCGCUACAAUUUCAGAGUGUGGUGUUGCAGCCAGAGUGGUAAAAAUCAGGCACAAAUGGAGCAAGUAGUUGUUAAUGGCUCUGAGUCACAUUUAGUUGUAGUGGAUAAUCCUAAUUUGUUGCAAAAGAAAAUAUCUGCAAUUCGCCUUGCCGGUCCUGCAAAGCUCCAGGUAAUUGCAGAUUUCGAUGCCACAUUGACAAAGUACUGGAUCAAUGGUUGUCGAGGCCAAAGCAGUCAUAAUCUUUUACAGCAGGAGGAUCCUGAGUACAAUGUCAAGAGGCAGACGUUAUAUGAUUAUUAUCAUCCCUUAGAAUUUGAUCCGGCUAUUCCCCUUGAUGAGAAAGCCAAGCUCAUGGUAGAGUGGUGGGAAAAAACACAUGCUCUUCUCAUUGAAGGAGGCCUUACAUACAAUGCAAUUCAAAAUUCCGUGGCUGAAGCCACAAUUGCAUUCCGAGAUGGUGUAACUGAACUUUUUGAACUUUUAGAGGAAAAAGGUGUCCCUGUACUUAUAUUCUCUGCAGGUUUAGCUGACAUAAUAGAGGAGGUGCUGAAGCAGAAAGUUCAUAGAUCUUUCAAGAACGUUAGAAUUGUCUCCAACAGGAUGGUGUUUGACGAAAAUGGUCGCCUACAGUCAUUUAAAGGUAAGACAAUCCAUGUACUAAACAAGAAUGAGCAUGCACUUGACAUGGCUGCACCACUUCACGAUCACUGCGAUGACCUGAAUGGACUGGGUGAUGAGAAAUCUUCAUUAAAGAAGAGAACUAAUGUGCUACUUCUUGGUGACCACAUUGGAGAUUUGGGAAUGUCAGACGGCUUGGACUAUGAAACAAGAAUAUCUGUGGGAUUUCUGGCAGGGGUAAGGCUGCAAUGUUGUUGUUGUUAAGAUCUCUUCAAAUUUGUCAAAUCAUUAACAGUAAGAUGAAAUGGGAACAUUUAGCCCAAGUCUCUAAAUGGAUAAAGCUGAAGUGAAGAACUUGCGACCACAAGAAAGACAUUGGUGAGCAUCAGUUCUCUCUGACACAUUUUUUUAUUCUCUGAAAUCUUGAAGAGUUAUAUUUAGAUGGUUGACAACUCCAUGUCCUAUGGUCGUUUUUCAAUGGUAAAGAAAGGAAUUACCCCGUUGCAUGAAGUGCAGCCUACUCUUAUGCAAGCAUUAGUGGCUGUUUCCACGGCUCGAACCCAUGACCUAUAGGUCACACGGAGACAUCUUUACCGUUGCUCCAGGCUCCCCUUCACUACUCAAUAAAAGCAUAUGCAGCUUGGGUCCAUACCAUAAGUUCCAAUAUUGGUUUCAACUUUCUUGAGGAUUAAACUCUUGACAGGCUAACCAACUUUUCUUCUCCUUAUUUCAAUCUGUGAUGUUGUAAUCAAGGGUGGAAGGGUACUUCAGCCUAAUUUAGGCUUCAAACCAUAUUUUAAUCUUUUCACAGGUCAACAAGCUUCCAAAUUAUACUAUUCACUAUUUUGGAAACAAGAGAAAAUUAUUAAUCUGUGGAUUUUGUAGAGUUCGUGAUUAUUAGGAGAUUUUUCACUGACUGCCUGCUGAAGUUCGAAUGGAUAUAUUUUCCCCCAGUCUUUGACCUAAUGGUUUGCCAAGAUAUUUUUGUACAGUUUUUGCGUUAAAAUCUUUUGUGACGUUGUUUCUUCUUUGUCACUCAAAGAAAAAGAAUAUAUAUAUAUAUUUUCAUUAGGGGCUUUUGGUUUGACAAUGCUUUUUAACAUAUUUGCAACUUCAUUUAGGGCAUGUGAUAGAAAGUGCACUGAACUGACCUCCAUGUCAUUAAGGAUGAGAAGGAGAAAUAAUUAACAAAUUGCAGACUUGUUUCAGCUAUACUUAACAUUGGGUUAACAAUACAGAUCCUCAAAAGUUUUAUCUUUUCUUGAUAAGAGCUUUCCAGUUUCCAUCUUCUAUGACAAUGCAAAUGGUGAAAAUCCCCUCUCUGUGCAUAGAGCUAAUAAAAAUGGUGCGGAACUCAAAGCAUAAUGAAGUUUGCUCAUAUUGAGUUUCACAAAGCAUGAGAACAAGACCAGAUUUAAAGCUGUGUGACAUUUUAGUCAUGUUGAUUUAAUGUCUACUUGCCCUGCUCUUAUCUUAGACCAAGUUGCAUAUGUGCUAUAGUUGCUAAACUUACACGAGAUUGUUGCAGGAAUGACAAAGUGGAAAGCUCUCUAGAAAGCUACCGAAAAGCUUUUGACAUUCUCUAUCUGAAUGAUUCAUCAAUGCACGGAGUAGUCAAGCUCGCGUCUCAUCUCUGUUC